rnacentral:rRNA from 1 species
UACGAAGGGGGCUAGCGUUGCUCGGAAUCACUGGGCGUAAAGGGCGCGUAGGCGGCCGAUUAAGUCGGGGGUGAAAGCCUGUGGCUCAACCACAGAAUUGCCUUCGAUACUGGUUGGCUUGAGACCGGAAGAGGACAGCGGAACUGCGAGUGUAGAGGUGAAAUUCGUAGAUAUUCGCAAGAACACCAGUGGCGAAGGCGGCUGUCUGGUCCGGUUCUGACGCUGAGGCGCGAAAGCGUAGGGAGCAAACAGG